ACUGCAGCUGAUAGUAAUAAUGGCUAAUUCUACAGAAAUUCAAGAUGUUUUCAAAUGGUUUCCAACAGCUAGUUUUUGAUUCCUAACGACUAAAAACAGCUAGUUCAGCUUUUUUGGAAGAUUUAAAGGCUUUCAAACAUAAUCAAAAAGAAAAAGACAGAGAGUGGAUCUAAGAGAGAAGAAAAGAAAAUACUUUUCUUGAUGAAG
rnacentral:lncRNA from 1 species